rnacentral:tRNA from 1 species
GUGGGUAUAGCUCAGUGGUAGAGCACAUGCUUAGCAUACACAAGGUCCUGGGUUCAAUCCCCAGGACCUCCA